rnacentral:rRNA from 1 species
UGCCAGCCGCCGCGGUAAUACGGAAGGUGCAAGCGUUGUUCGGAAUUAUUGGGCGUAAAGCGCGUGUAGGCGGUUCGUUAAGUCUGAUGUGAAAGCCCCGGGCUUAACCUGGGAACUGCAUUCGAUACUGUCUAGCUAGAGUAUGGUAGAGGGAAGUGGAAUUCCGGGUGUAGCGGUGAAAUGCGUAGAUAUCCGGAGGAACACCAGUGGCGAAGGCGACUUCCUGGACCAAUACUGACGCUGAGGUGCGAAAGCGUGGGGAGCAAACAGGAUUAGAUA